rnacentral:rRNA from 1 species
AGUGAACGCUGGCGGUAGGCCUAACACAUGCAAGUCGAACGGCAGCACAGUAAGAGCUUGCUCUUACGGGUGGCGAGUGGCGGACGGGUGAGGAAUACAUCGGAAUCUACUUUUUCGUGGGGGAUAACGUAGGGAAACUUACGCUCAUACCGCAUACGACCUUCGGGUGAAAGCAGGGGAUCUUCGGACCUUGCGCGAUUGAAUGAGCCGAUGUCGGAUUAGCUAGUUGGCGGGGUAAAGGCCCACCCAGGCGACGAUCCGUAGCUGGUCUGAGAGGAUGAUCAGCCACACUGGAACUGAGACACGGUCCAGACGCCUACGGGAGGCAGCAGUGGGGAAUAUUGGACAAUGGGCGCAAGCCUGAUCCAGCCAUACCGCGUGGGUGAAGAAGGCCUUCGGGUUGUAAAGCCCUUUUGUUGGGAAAGAAAAGCAGCAGGUUAAUACCCCGCUGUUCUGACGGUACCCAAAGAAUAAGCACCGGCUAACUUCGUG